AGCGAACGCUGGCGGCAGGCCUAACACAUGCAAGUCGAACGGACCUUUCGGGGUUAGUGGCGGACGGGUGAGUAACACGUGGGAACGUGCCUUUAGGUUCGGAAUAACUCAGGGAAACUUGUGCUAAUACCGGAUGUGCCCUUCGGGGGAAAGAUUAAUCGCCUUUAGAGCGGCCCGCGUCUGAUUAGCUAGUUGGUUGAGGUAAUGGCUCACCAAGGCGACGAUCAGUAGCUGGUCUGAGAGGAUGAUCAGCCACAUUGGGACUGAGACACGGCCCAAACUCCUACGGGAGGCAGCAGUGGGGAAUCUUGCGCAAUGGGCGAAAGCCUGACGCAGCCAUGCCGCGUGAAUGAUGAAGGUCUUAGGAUUGUAAAAUUCUUUCACCGGGGACGAUAAUGACGGUACCCGGAGAAGAAGCCCCGGCUAACUUCGUG
rnacentral:rRNA from 1 species